GACAGAGGGUGCAAACGUUGUUCGGAAUUACUGGGCGUAAAGCGUGUGUAGGCGGUCCGAUAAGUCGGGUGUGAAAGCCCAGGGCUCAACCCUGGAAGUGCACUCGAAACUGUCAGGCUAGAGUACCGGAGAGGUUGGUGGAAUUCUCGGUGUAGAGGUGAAAUUCGUAGAUAUCGAGAGGAACACCGGUGGCGAAGGCGGCCAACUGGACGGAUACUGACGCUGAGACACGAAAGCGUGGGGAGCAAACAGG
rnacentral:rRNA from 1 species